UCGGGGAACGAUAACGGCGUCGAGCGGCGGACGGGUGAGUAAUGCCUAGGAAAUUGCCCUGAUGUGGGGGAUAACCAUUGGAAACGAUGGCUAAUACCGCAUGAUGCCUACGGGCCAAAGAGGGGGACCUUCGGGCCUCUCGCGUCAGGAUAUGCCUAGGUGGGAUUAGCUAGUUGGUGAGGUAAGGGCUCACCAAGGCGACGAUCCCUAGCUGGUCUGAGAGGAUGAUCAGCCACACUGGAACUGAGACACGGUCCAGACUCCUACGGGAGGCAGCAGUGGGGAAUAUUGCACAAUGGGCGCAAGCCUGAUGCAGCCAUGCCGCGUGUGUGAAGAAGGCCUUCGGGUUGUAAAGCACUUUCAGUCGUGAGGAAGGUGGUGUAGUUAAUAGCUGCAUUAUUUGACGUUAGCGACAGAAGAAGCACCGGCUAACUCCGUGCCAGCAGCCGCGGUAAUACGGAGGGUGCGAGCGUUAAUCGGAAUUACUGGGCGUAAAGCGCAUGCAGGUGGUUUGUUAAGUCAGAUGUGAAAGCCCGGGGCUCAACCUCGGAAUAGCAUUUGAAACUGGCAGACUAGAGUACUGUAGAGGGGGGUAGAAUUUCAGGUGUAGCGGUGAAAUGCGUAGAGAUCUGAAGGAAUA
rnacentral:rRNA from 1 species